rnacentral:rRNA from 1 species
UACAGAGGGUGCGAGCGUUGUCCGGAAUCACUGGGCGUAAAGGGCGCGUAGGUGGCGCGGCAAGUCAGUGGUGAAAGCUCGACGCUCAACGUCGAGUCGGCCACUGAUACUGCCGCGCUCGAGCACUGUAGAGGCUAAUGGAAUUCCGGGUGUAGCGGUGGAAUGCGUAGAGAUCCGGAAGAACACCGGUGGCGAAGGCGGUUAGCUGGGCAGUUGCUGACACUGAGGCGCGACAGCGUGGGGAGCAAACAGG